UUCAAGUAUUCAGUUCAUUCAUUCUUUUCAACGUAUAUUUACUGAUGACCUACUAUGAGUCAGAUGCUGUUUUAGGUCCAUUCUCUUCUCUCUGGCCCAAGGGCCAGCAAACUUUCUUUUCUUUUUAAGAUUUUAUUUUUAAGUGAUCUUGACACCCAAUGUGGGGCUCGAACUCACAACCCCAAGAUCAAGAGUCCCUCACUCCACCUGCUGAGCCAGCCAGGUGCCCCAGCAAACUUUCUUUGCAAAGGACCAGAGGAAUUGCAGAGCAGAGAAAGCCAGUAACUAAUCAGUGGAUCAAGUCAACUGAGUUCUGGUUCCAAAGGCUGUUGCUACAGAGAAAUCAUAAUGACAGAGGAAAAUAAAGCGUAUCUGCUUACACCUGGCAAGAUCUGUGGGUUGAGACUGGCCCUGGCACUGCAAUAGAUCUUCUUCUGGCUUCACACAGAAGGAAGUUAAGGCUCAGAGACGUGAAGUACUUCUGCCCCAGUGCGCAUGGCCUCCAUUAGAAUGUACCAGGGAUGGCCUGCUGGAGGAUAAGGGACAAGUGGAGCAGAGCUGAGUCACCCCAGAAGCCUCUGCUGAAACCAGUCUAGAUCACCUGACUCUCAGUGAGGAUCGUGACAGCUCCUUUGGGGAUGUGUUGUGAAGUCUGAAGCAGAUAAAGCACGGGAUGUGCUAACGCAAUGUCAAGUUUGCAGGAAAUGCUCGCUAAAUGGGAACCAUUUCCCGAUUCCAACCGCCAGAGAAUCAAAUGACUCCAGCAACACUUCUGGGGUGUCAGGUUUUGCUUAAUCCAACUGCCAGAGUGAGAAAGGAAGAAGCUACAACAGCUCUGCCCAGAUCGGAUACCCUGGCAUCGGCAGUUGGGUUUAACGGUGUGAGACACCUGGAUAAACUGAAGAGGUGAAAAUUAAAAUAAAGUACCUGCAGCACCACAGAAAGAGACUUUUAGUGUAAUAAAUUG